rnacentral:rRNA from 1 species
AUGGUAGUCCUAGUGAUAAGUAUAGCAACUAGUACUGACCAGGACGAUGCCGGCGUGGUCGCCCCUGCGGUGGUUCUCGGAGGCGUCCACCCAGGUGGGUCGGGGCUCGCCUUCCCGGUGGGCGUUGGCGGCGUUGUACCCGUCGUUGCGCUGCUUGAUGUCGUGCUCCAGGCUGUUGAUUCUGGCCUUGAACUCGUCGUACUCCUUGCGGACGCGGCGGCGGUCGUUGACGAAUUCGUCCUGGGCUCUCCCCAUGUAGGGGUGGGACUUGAGCUCGAAGUAGCUCUCCGGGCCCCUGGGCUCGAUCCCGUGCUUGCGGCAGAAGGGCACCCAGAGGGUGGCGAACUUGGAGGACUCGGCCAGGGCCUCGUAGGUGAGCAGCAUGCCACUGUCGUCAGAGACGUAGCAUGUGUUGCGGUCGACGGGGUAGUCGGCGGCGAGGAUGGAGAGCACGGAGUUGGCGGUGGAGAGGAUGGGCUCCUUGAUGGGGUCGGCCGUGGUGACGAAGAUGUCGAGCCCCGGGAGGGUGGAGGUGCCGUCGGGGCGGUCGAAGCGCUGCCGCAGCACGGCCAGGUCCGGCACGCGGUUGAUGGGGUUCAGCUUGGGCAGCUGAUCCAGCAGCCAGGAGAAGCCGAACCAGAACUCGCCGCAGAUGGAUGUCACCCACAGCCACAUGGCGUCAGGGUUCUUGUGGGAGAUACGCCAGAUCACGAACAGGGUGAAGGCGAUCAGCCGAACGAAGAUCAGCACCCUGCAUUGCAUUAUUCACAUUCACCGUCAGUUACAGUUCAUCAUCAGUUCUUGUGGGAGUAG